CCAGCUUCACACUUUCUACCAACCCGCACCGGCUUCACCAGACGUUGAGUGGUCUGCCCGCUGGAUUCGCAGGGAACGCAGUUGCAUUUUUACCCAAAGGCAGUACAGACACAGUGAAAGCUUUUAAGAUCUCCAAGUCUUAAACACCUUUCGUCUCCAGAACCGGGCACAUGCCUGGCACGAAGCUGAAGGGCCUCACUUGCAAAAAUGAAGGAUGAGCUAGCCCUAAUGGCCUAGCAGUUAAAGUUUGGUGCGUUCUGCUUUGGCGUCCUCGAUUUGGUUCCUGAGUGUGGAACCACACCACUCGUCUGUCAGUAGCCAUGCUGUGGUGGCGGCUCACAUAGAAGAACAAGAAGGACUUACAACUAGAAUAUACAACUAUGUACUGGGGCUUUGGAGAGGGUGAAAAAAAAAUGAAUGAAUGAAUGAAUGAAUAAACAAAUGUCACAUUUGAGAAAAUCAUUCAACAUUGCGGCCAAGACUGCUCCUUGUGUUUAAAUAUUGUCUCCCCCUAUUUUUUGGUGGGGGAGACAUAGGGCACUAUGGGUGUUUUUUAAAAAAUAAAUUUAUAUCCCCUUCACACAUUUCUCCCACCUCCACUCCCUGCCUCUUGAAACUACCAAUCUGUUCUCUGUAUUUAUGAGCUUGUUCUUGUUUUUGGUUUUGAUUCCACAUAUAAGAGAGAUCAUGCAGUAUUUGUCUUUGUCUCUGACUUAUUUUACUUAGCAUAAUGCCCUUGAGGUCCGUCCACGUUUUUGCAAACAGCAAGAUUUCAUUCUUUUCUAUGGCUAAGUAGUAUUCCAGUGUGUGUGUGUGUGUGCGCGCACGCGUGUGCAUGCGUGCUACAAUAUCUUUAUCCAUUCAUCCAUUGAUAGACACUUAGGCUGUUUCCAUGUCUUGGCUAUUGUAACUAAUGCUGCAAUGAACAUAGGGAUGCAUAUAUGUUUUCAAGUUAGUGUUUUCUUUUUUUUGGAUAAAUACCCAAAGAUGGGAUUAUUGGAUCAUAUGGUAUUUCCAUUUGUAAUUCUUUGAGGAACCUCCACACCACUUUCCAUAGUGGCUGCACCUGUUUACAUUCCCACUGACAGUGAACUAGGGUUCCCCUUUCUCCACAUCCUUGCUAACACUUGUUAUCUCUCGUCUUUUUCACAACAGCCCCCUGACAGGUGUGAGGUGAUAUCUCACUGUUCAUUUUUAAAUAUUAACAUGAGUUGGUGCUACAGGAGGUGGAUGAUGAGCUUCAGUGGCUCUCUUUCAGCAUUUCUGAAUGCUGAGAGAACCCAAAGUCCUUGCCCUCUGUCUAGUAUUCAAAUUCACUUCCUACCCUGAAACACAUUUGGAAGAAUUGGAGGAAUUCUUCUGGGGAGCUCAGAUAGUAUCCCUGAUACCCUGGAUGGGGAAACUUGGUGUGAACCAUGGUGUUCCAAGAAGUGGCUUUUUGAAUGUUCAGCAUAAAAUAUCAUUGGCCCUGACCUGAUCC
rnacentral:lncRNA from 1 species